AUGGAGGAGGAGGAGGCCGCCGGCGUGAGGAAGCGGAAGCGGGGCGGGGAGGCCGUCCUCGCCGUGUCCGGCGGGGAGGCGGGGCUCGUCGAGGGAGGCGGCGGCUUCUCGUGGAAGGAGGCGGAGAUGGAGGAGGAGGAGGGGGAGGAGUACGAGGGCAUCGCGGAGGAGUCGGUGGAGGAGGUGAUGCGGUGGCUGGAGCUGGAGAUCUCCUCCUCGCCGGGCAAGGGCGGCGACGACGGGUUCGUGACCAUCAACGGCAACGAGGAGAGCUGCGGCCCGUCCUUCUCCGCCGCGGCGUCCAGCGUGAUGGCCUCCGUGGACACGCGCGCCGGCGCGCCGCCGCCCCCGACGGCCAUCCCCUGGCCGUGGCCCGAGCCCGACGACGACACCAAGGCGGCGGCGGCGGCGGCGCACGGCGACGCCGACGCCGACGCGGACAUGGCGGAGCUCGUCGACGAGGAGUGGCUGGUGGAGCUGCUGACCGGCGGCGGGCCCGCGCUGGAGGUAGAGUAG
rnacentral:rRNA from 1 species